UUGGAUUUUGGUCGCGACGUCGGCGACCUGAAUCCAACGUCUAACCAACGUCAUAUCCAUGACGUCUAAUAGACGUCAGACUUAGACGUCUAGAAGACGUUGGAAUUAGGUUAGAUAGAAAGUCUGAUAAAUGUUUUUAGUUAUAAAACUAACUGGUAUAAUUUUGCUAGUAUAGUUUAAAGAUAUUUACUUGUUUUCAUAAAGGCCUGAACAUGCGCUUAUUAAUAAUAGUUCAUUCUCACAACAAACAUUAUAAUAAUUAUGUUACAAUAUCGCAUGAGAUUGCCUAUUUUCGGAGACGGAUUUUUUCACGAACUUUAAACUGUUCAAUAUAAAAAUGCAUUCUAUACACAUGUAUAAAUUAUUCUAAAUUCACAUAGAUCUUCUCUUCUACACAUGUUGUCUAUUAGUUACACAUUCGCGAGAUAAGCCUGCAUCGGUUUACACAAUCUUCCUGUAAUUUGAUAUUUAUUGGGAUAAGAUAGAGCAAGUUUAUAAAUACUUUACACAAAGGGAAGGAUCCGCAACGUGGAAAUGUUGGCGGAGUUGAAGAAUCAUACAAAAAUGACGAAACUUGAAAGUUUCAAUUACUGCAUUACUUUUUGGACUUACUGUAUUAGACUUACGUCGCCAUAAUAUGAAAUAAAGAUGAUAAAAUACA